GAGGGCUUGCGCUUGCAGUAUGUCUUUCCAUUGUUGCGGACUUAGGGUGUAUGUGGACUCUUUCUCCCAGGCAAUGAUGAAUGGGAAUGGUGCGUGGGUUUUAGAGGUCUGAAAUGUUUGGUAAAUUGUAGAGAGUAGUUUUUUAGGGGGAGAAAGGCAUGCACAGAUUUUUUUCUACCACCGUCAGCUGUUGUCCCCGUACAUCAUCUUUGUGGGUAGUGGUUUGUUUUUUAAGCCAUGACUGGAUUUGCCUAUAGGAGAAUAGUGCUGUGGGGUUGAGGUGGAACGCUGUUGUUAGUUCUUCAAAUUGUUUGAGCUCCCGGCCCUGCAGCAUUUGGUGUAGGAAUCUGAUGCCAUGUCGUUGCCAAAUGGCAUGGUUGAAAUUUGGUAUUAUAUGGUGGAGAGCUUUUAUUGGAGUGGCAGGGGAGAGUUUACCUUUCCAUUUCUUUUUGUGGCAGUACAGGUCCCAUAUGUGUAGGGUGAGUGUUGUUG